UGUGUGUGUGCGGACCCGCCUUCACUCCUCCCGUCACUUGCUCAGAUCAGCUGCACUCGGACACUCUCUCUCUCUCUCUCUCUCGCGCGCGCUGAGUGCUCGGAUCACAGUGUGAGAGUGUGUGUGUGUGUGUGUGCACGCGCUCGGUGAAGAGAGUGCAGACUCCGCCGUGUUCUCCUCGUCACCCCACCGCUCCCUGAAACCCUGGACCGACUCUGCGGAAGAACUGAGAGGAGAAUCCUGUGGAGUCUGUCUUUCAUUCACCCAGCAUGAGGCAGCAUGUGGUUACUCUCACUUUAGCACAGGUCCUGUAACAGCAUGUGCCUCGUCGAAAGGUAAGAAGCAGAAAUGAACAGCUUGCUUUGCCUACUGAUUUAAAACACAUUCAGAGCUGUUGAUCUUAUGCUGCAUUACAUUUUACCUUAAAAACUGAAUUUUUUAGUUCCAAGUAAAAAAUGUUUCCUGGAACGCUAUUAAAACACUCAAACUGUCCACUUCAGGAGGUGGUCUGAAACGAUUUUAAAACAGAUAAAAACCUGAUCACUCAAACUGUCCACUUCAGGAGGUGGUCUGAGACGCAUUUGAGCCACUUACUGUCGCUGUAUAAAGAACAAGACAUUAUACAGAGGUCUCAAUAAUAACCCUUUUGGCUUAAAAUGACGAGUGAUUCUAAUUUUUUGAACCGCAGUUUAUGUAUAGGUUCAUAAAGAUGUUUGUGUUUUCUGCUUGUUAGCAUGGGGGAAAUGAGCUGGCUGUCAGUUUUUAAGCAUUUCUUUACUCUACUCAAAUCUAAAACUCACUAAGUAGUAAGGGGUGAAUUCAAGGUGGAUUUAAACCUUAAAAGUCUUACAAUGUUUUAAGGAGUGUGA
rnacentral:lncRNA from 1 species